rnacentral:rRNA from 1 species
UACGUAGGGUGCAAGCGUUAAUCGGAAUUACGGGGCGUAAAGCGUGCGCAGGCGGUGAUGUAAGACAGAUGUGAAAUCCCCGGGCUCAACCUGGGAACUGCAUUUGUGACUGCAUCGCUGGAGUGCGGCAGAGGGGGAUGGAAUUCCGCGUGUAGCAGUGAAAUGCGUAGAUAUGCGGAGGAACACCGAUGGCGAAGGCAAUCCCCUGGGCCUGCACUGACGCUCAUGCACGAAAGCGUGGGGAGCAAACAGG